AGUCGCACGAGAAAGGGGCUUCGGCUCUGAGUAAAGUGGCGCACGGGUGAGUAACACGUGAAUUAUCUACCUCCGAGUGGGGAAUAACUGAGAGAAAUCUUAGCUAAUACCGCAUAACACCUACGAGUCAAAGCAGCAAUGCGCUUGGAGAGGAGUUCGCGGCCGAUUAGUUAGUUGGCGGGGUAAUGGCCCACCAAGACGAUGAUCGGUAUCCGGCCUGAGAGGGCGCACGGACACACUGGAACUGAAACACGGUCCAGACUCCUACGGGAGGCAGCAGUGGGGAAUUUUGCGCAAUGGGGGAAACCCUGACGCAGCAACGCCGCGUGGAGGACGAAAUCCCUUGGGAUGUAAACUCCUUUCGAUAGGGAAGAUAAUGACGGUACCUAUAGAAGAAGCCCCGGCUAACUUCGUGCCAGCAGCCGCGGUAAUACGAGGGGGGCAAGCGUUGUUCGGAAUUAUUGGGCGUAAAGGGCGCGUAGGCGGUUUGGCAAGUCUUAUGUGAAAUCUUCGGGCUCAACCCGAAGCCUGCAUGAGAAACUGCCGGGCUUGAGUAUGGGAGAGGUGAGUGGAAUUUCCGGUGUAGCGGUGAAAUGCGUAGAUAUCGGAAGGAACACCUGUGGCGAAAGCGGCUCACUGGACCAUAACUGACGCUGA
rnacentral:rRNA from 1 species